UGAGGAGAUCUCGCCAGGCAGGAUUUCUUUCCCCAGGGAAAUAUCCUCCCUUUCGAUGUCCUGAAAGCACAAGUAAGAAGAAAUUUUAAAAUCUGAAACAUUUGCAUAUAACCCGCCCACAUAGGGUAUUAUGGGCUUAAGAAGAUUGACGACUGUCUGGUACCGCAGGAGGUCGGUAGAUGGCGUUGUGUCCCGAAAUAAAGAGCGGCGCUGGCGGCUCCCAGCCUUCCAGGUGAAGCAGCAGCAGCCGCCCGCCCGGUUUCGUCCUCUGCCACCAGAGUCUCUAAUGCCUCACCACCCGACGCCCGCACGCUGCAGCCCGGGGCCACAGACGCCCGCCUUUGCUAAAGCUAUUUCUACAUAUGGAAUUCUUCUCUCGAAAUCCAGUCAAAGGGUCAACACUUCGUCUCUGAUACAUUCCAAGAUUAACCUAGAGUUGGAGGAUUCUUUCCAUUAUUAUUGUUAUUGAUAUCAUAAUUGUCGUCAUGUCUUGUUCACUGAAUAAAUCGUGAUAGAGCCUAAAGGAACUCAUCAUAAGGAUGUGGGCAAAGGAGGUGUUAAUACUAAAUCUCAAUCUCUCUUCUUCCACCCUACUCCGUCUCUUCUU